UAGGGAAUCUUCGGCAAUGGGGGCAACCCUGACCGAGCAACGCCGCGUGAGUGAAGAAGGUUUUCGGAUCGUAAAGCUCUGUUGUAAGAGAAGAACGAGUGUGAGAGUGGAAAGUUCACACUGUGACGGUAACUUACCAGAAAGGGACGGUUAACUACGUGCCAGCAGCCGCGGUAAUACGUAGGUCCCGAGCGUUAUCCGGAUUUAUUGGGCGUAAAGCGAGCGCAGGCGGUUAGAUAAGUCUGAAGUUAAAGGCUGUGGCUUAACCAUAGUACGCUUUGGAAACUGUUUAACUUGAGUGCAGAAGGGGAGAGUGGAAUUCCAUGUGUAGCGGUGAAAUGCGUAGAUAUAUGGAGGAACACCGGUGGCGAAAGCGGCUCUCUGGUCUGUAACUGACGCUGAGGCUCGAAAGCGUGGGGAGCAAACAGGAUUAGAUACCCUGGUAGUCCACGCCGUAAACGAUGAGUGCUAGGUGUUGGGUCCUUUCCGGGACUCAGUGCCGCAGCUAACGCAUUAAGCACUCCGCCUGGGGAGUACGACCGCAAGGUUG
rnacentral:rRNA from 1 species